UCUCACCUGUGACGAGGCUGCCCCCAGCUC
rnacentral:piRNA from 1 species